AUUGAACGCUAGCGGGAUGCUUUACACAUGCAAGUCGAACGGCAGCGCGGACUUCGGUCUGGCGGCGAGUGGAGAACGGGUGAGUAAUGUAUCGGAACGUGCCCAGUAGCGGGGGAUAACUACGCGAAAGCGUAGCUAAUACCGCAUACGCCCUACGGGGGAAAGCAGGGGAUCGUAAGACCUUGCACUAUUGGAGCGGCCGAUAUCGGAUUAGCUAGUUGGUGAGGUAACGGCUCACCAAGGCGACGAUCCGUAGCUGGUUUGAGAGGACGACCAGCCACACUGGGAGUGAGACACGGCCCAGACUCCUACGGGAGGCAGCAGUGGGGAAUUUUGGACAAUGGGGGCAACCCUGAUCCAGCCAUCCCGCGUGUGCGAUGAAGGCCUUCGGGUUGUAAAGCACUUUUGGCAGGAAAGAAACGUCGCGGGCUAAUACCCCGUGGAACUGACGGUACCUGCAGAAUAAGCACCGGCUAACUACGUG
rnacentral:rRNA from 1 species